CAGCCGCCGCGGUAAUACGAAGGGGGCUAGCGUUGUUCGGAAUUACUGGGCGUAAAGGGCGCGUAGGCGGUUUGAUUAGUCAGAUGUGAAAUUCCCGGGCUUAACCUGGGCGCUGCAUUUGAUACUGUCAGGCUUGAAUUCAGGAGAGGAUAGCGGAAUUCCCAGUGUAGAGGUGAAAUUCGUAGAUAUUGGGAAGAACACCGGUGGCGAAGGCGGCUAUCUGGACUGACAUUGACGCUGAGGCGCGAAAGCGUGGGGAGCAAACAGGAUUAGAGACCCCCGUAGUCCCUGUCUCUUAUAA
rnacentral:rRNA from 1 species